rnacentral:rRNA from 1 species
UACGGAGGGUGCAAGCGUUAAUCGGAAUCACUGGGCGUAAAGCGCACGUAGGCUGUCGUGUAAGUCAGGGGUGAAAGCCCACGGCUCAACCGUGGAAUUGCCCUUGAUACUGCAUGACUGGAAUCCGGGAGAGGGUGGCGGAAUUCCAGGUGUAGGAGUGAAAUCCGUAGAUAUCUGGAGGAACAUCAGUGGCGAAGGCGGCCACCUGGACCGGUAUUGACGCUGAGGUGCGAAAGCGUGGGGAGCAAACAGG